rnacentral:rRNA from 1 species
CGCUCUCCCCUCCCGCUCCCCCGUCUGUCCCUCUCGGCCUUUUGGGGCGCUGGUGAAUGGCGGGGGUUGGGGAGCAGGGGCGGCGGCGAGGACGGGCGUCGACGCGCGGGAGGGGGGAGGCGAGGGAGGGGUGGCCCACGGUGCAGAGGGAUGGCGGGUAGAUUGAUGGUGGAUGAGGCCGAUGGGGGGGAGAGCGAGGGAGGAAGGAUGGAAGGAAACGCUCGCUCGCUCGCUCGCUAUAGC